CACAAAAACCAAAAAAAAAU
rnacentral:sRNA from 1 species